GAUGAACGCUGGCGGCGUGCCUAAUACAUGCAAGUCGAACGCUGGAGAUCUAGCUUGCUAGAUCGAAGGAGUGGCGAACGGGUGAGUAAUACAUAAGCAACUUACCCACGAAGACUGGGAUAAUCUCUGGAAACGGGGACUAAUACCGGAUAGGUAAUCGGAAGGCAUCUUCUGAUUAUUAAAGGCUAAAAACACUGGUGGAUGGGCUUAUGGCGCAUUAGUUAGUUGGUGAGGUAACGGCCCACCAAGACGAUGAUGCGUAGCCGGCCUGAGAGGGUGAACGGCCACAUUGGGACUGAGACACGGCCCAGACUCCUACGGGAGGCAGCAGUAGGGAAUUUUCGGCAAUGGGGGAAACCCUGACCGAGCAACGCCGCGUGAGUGAUGACGGCCUUCGGGUUGUAAAGCUCUGUUGUAAGGGAAGAACGGUAGAUAGAGAAUAUCUAAGUGACGGUACCUUACCAGAAAGCCACGGCUAACUACGUGCCAGCAGCCGCGGUAAUACGUAGGUGGCGAGCGUUAUCCGGAAUUAUUGGGCGUAAAGGGUGCGUAGGCGGCCUGUUAAGUAAGUGGUUAAAUUGUUGGGCUCAACCCAAUCCAGCCACUUAAACUGGCAGGCUAGAGUAUUGGAGAGGCAAGUGGAAUUCCAUGUGUAGCGGUAAAAUGCGUAGAUAUAUGGAGGAACACCAGUGGCGAAGGCGGCUUGCUAGCCAAAGACUGACGCUCAUGCACGAAAGCGUGGGGAGCAAAUAGG
rnacentral:rRNA from 1 species